rnacentral:rRNA from 1 species
UACGGGGGGGGCAAGCGUUUGUUCGGAAUUACUGGGCGUAAAGAGCUCGUAGGCGGCCAACUAAGUCAGACGUGAAAUCCCCAGGCUCAACCUGGGAACUGCGUCUGAUACUGGAUGGCUUGAAUCCGGGAGAGGGAUGCAGAAUUCCAGGUGUAGCGGUGAAAUGCGUAGAUAUCUGGAGGAAUACCGGUGGCGAAGGCGGCAUCCUGGACCGGCAUUGACGCUGAGGAGCGAAAGCCAGGGGAGCAAACGGG